rnacentral:lncRNA from 1 species
GUUAACAAGAUAUUGCAAGCUAAUCAGUCACAAAUACCCAGACCACAUAUGCUCAAAAUGCAAAGGAGAAGAUAACAUUGUUCCAGACGUACAACUGGAAUAAUCGAGAAGAAGACGACAAACUAAACGACAAAAACUAUGGCAGACAAGAUAAAGUAAAAGAUUUAUUAGAUUCUUUUCUUUUCUUUAAUGUUAUUUUAUUUUUUGUAAAAGUCGUAAAGUAAAUAGUUCUUUACUUUACAAAAGUAAGAGUCAGUCUCAUGAACAGUAAAGGUCGUUUAUGAAUAGUAAGAAUCAGCCUCAUGAACAGUAAAGGUCGUUCAUGAAUAGUAAGAGUCAGUCUCAUGAACAGUAAAGGUCGUUCAUGAACAGUAAGAGUCAUUUUUGUAAUCUUUAAAUAGCCUUUCGAUUAUGAAUAAAAAGCAGGCUGCAUCUUCAGGCAUCCAAAAAUUCCUCUCUUCUCUCUAAAGAUACUUCUUAAAGAUAAAAAUACAGGAAAGCUAUGGAACAUCAAGAAGAUAUGAAAGCUAUGGAUCAACAAGGAGAUAUCAAAAACCUACAAAAACAGGUAUGUCAUAUUAUAAUUAUGAGUAGCUAAAUUAUUAUAUUCCUGAUAAUCUCUUAUAUGUAAAUUAUAAUUAUCCAUCAUAUAAUAGUACUGUUAUAGAAAUCAUCUUGAGAAAGUUUGCCAUGAAAAUAUGCUAAGAGUAGGUAAGCCCAGACUAUGCAUCCUAAGGUUGAAACCGGUAGGC